UGAUUUCAGAUUUAAUUACAAGAAUUAAAACAUAAAAGUUUAAACAUGAACCUGGCUCUGAUACCACUGUUGGGGGAGUCUCCACUCCUACAUAGGAUCGGUCCUAUUAAAAAUAGGGUGACACCCAUGUAUACCUAUCAGAGCACGCAUCUCUAUACGCCUCCGGACGGAGAGCCACGCUUCGUCACACGAUCACGCGUGAGAGUUUCCGGAGAUCGGUCACAACUCUUGGACCUUUGCUCUGAUACCACUGAAAGUGGAUCCUAGGUUCUUCGGUAUUAAGCAUUCUGUAAUUUUUUUUUUUAAACCAUGGCUGAACCUGAUUGGGUUGCCUACGUACCUCUUCAUAAGGGGGAUCAAGCCAUACAUAGUUCUUUUAAAUUUUAAAACGCAGCGGAAAAAUCGAAUCAAACAAUUUAAUUCAUGCAUGCUUACAAGAUCAAAUCUAGAAAUCAGCACCUUAAGAACACAUAAGAUUAUGCUGGAAUCGUUUAAACAAUUAUGCUAAAACUUUCAUGUAUGAUUAACUAUCAGAUCUGAAACUUAAGAACUCUAUUUCGAUUAAUCUCCGAAUAUCCAUCGAAUGGAUUCUGGAGAUAACUCCGUGAGGAGCCCCAAAGGAGGGUAAAACCUCGGGAGUCAGACCUAGACCCUGACUCCAAAAUAAAAUAUUGAUGUGGGAUUAAUACCUUUUAUGAUGGAAGAAACUUAUGGAUCUAAUCCUUGACUUCGCAGCCACGUACACGAAUGGCCUCUAUGAGAAGUACACGCAAAGCCCUAAGUAGAUCGUCUUCCGCGGGAGUGCUAGCUCGCGCAGGAACGCAGCAAUGGCUGAAGCUUUCUCCUUCUAAACACUCAACCUUUGAUUGUUCUUCAAGGAGAUGGAGGAUGGACGUGAGGAAGAAGGAGAAGAAGGGAUGGAGGCCCUCAAAGAAUUUUUUCAGAAUUUUUUGAAACCUCUAAAUAUGGUAUAUCUUGAACCUAAGGCAUGGGGGUCUUUUAUAGCCAAAAGACCACCCCACGCCUCACACCUAAUUUAGCCAACUAAUUUGGCUGAUAAAAUUCCCAAAAAAUUUUGGUGGUUUGGCAGCUAAGAGGAUAUAAACAUAUCCAAAUUUUGUACAUUUUGAAUCCCUAAAAGAUAGGAAUUCAUGCGUCCAAAUUUCAGCCGCAGACCACCCUAUUUCAUGCACCAUGCAAUCCCUACAAAUUAGGAAAUUCAUAUAAAUCUUUCUAGAAAGAUUUAAGGCUCCAUUUUUAUAGAAAAUAUAGCCCCACGCCUCCUCUCUUAUCACGCCAAUUUUUGGCCAAAAAUAAAGAGGAUAGGUGUAGAAAAUAUUGGGGAUAAAUUAAGGUGUCAUUCUUCUCCAAGAAGAUAAGGAUGGGUUCCUAAAAUUUAGGGAUUCUUCUCCUUAUCCAAUUCUGAUUAUUUGGACUCAUAAUCCUCAUCAAAUAAAGGUCUUCUAAUUGAUUUGGAUCAAGCCCAAUCUNNNNNNNNNNNNNNNNNNNNNNNNNNNNNNNNNNNNNNNNNNNNNNNNNNNNNNNNNNNNNNNNNNNNNNNNNNNNN
rnacentral:lncRNA from 1 species